ACGCAGCGAUGACCAGCUUUGCCGGAACGAAAGUCCGGCGGGCGGGUUGGAAAUAGUAGCGUUCAUUCGAUGCAUUUCCGCCGGGUAUGCGCCACGACCGAUGCGAAAGGCUAGUGAAACUGGCGAGUUGAGGUGGAAGCCCUUCGGGGUAUUCAUUACCAGCUUGUCGGCAUAUAGUCGCUAGACCGCAGUAGCAUCGAGCGCGGGAUAUAUCGAGUGCCGGCAAAAGUGCUCGUUCGAGCGGCGGAUAUUCGUCGGAACUGGGCCGUACCUGCUCGCAGGUUAUGCCCGUUGCCGGUCGAUUUUGAAGUCGCCGACGAGUUAUGGCACUCGGGCGUCAGUGGCGUCCGAGACGGUCAACCGUCCGACCCGUCUUGAAACACGGACCAAGGAGUCUAACGUACGCGCUAGCUAAUGAGUGGAAAACUCAUGAGCGCAAUAAAAGUAAAUGCCUCGGUACGAUCCUCGGGUAUUUAUUUACCCGAGGCGCACUACCGUCCCAUCCUGAUCGCUCGUCGAUAGGGUGGAGACUGAGUGCAUACGUUGGGACCCGAAAGAUGGUGAACUAUGCCUGAGCAGAGCGAAGCCAGAGGAAACU
rnacentral:rRNA from 1 species